rnacentral:rRNA from 1 species
GAUUAACGCUGGCGGCGUGCAUAACGCAUGCAAGUCGAACGAUGAAACUUUAAUGAACCCUUCGGGGAGAAUUAAAGCGGAUUAGUGGCGAACGGGUGAGUAACGCGUGAGUAACCUGCCUUACACAAGGGGAUAGCCUUUGGAAACGAAGAAUAAUACCCUAUAAAACCAUAAAAGCACAUGCAAUUAUGGUCAAAGUGAUAGCGGUGUAAGAUGGACUUGCGUCUGAUUAGCUAGUUGGUGAGAUAAAAGCCCACCAAGGCAACGAUCAGUAGCCGGCCUGAGAGGGUGACCGGCCACAUUGGGACUGAGAUACGGCCCAGACUCCUACGGGAGGCAGCAGUGGGGAAUAUUGCACAAUGGGCGGAAGCCUGAUGCAGCAACGCCGCGUGCGGGAUGACGGCCUUCGGGUUGUAAACCGCUUUCGCCUGUGACGAAGCGUGAGUGACGGUAAUGGGUAAAGAAGCACCGGCUAACUACGUG